rnacentral:rRNA from 2 species
UUCGCAAUGCCCGAAAGGGUGACGAAGCGACGCCGCGUGUGGGAAGAAGGCCUUCGGGUUGUAAACCACUGUCGGGAGUUAAGAAAUGCAAGGAUAUUAAUAGUGUCUUUGUUUGACUAAGGCUCCGGAGGAAGCCACGGCUAACUCUGUGCCAGCAGCCGCGGUAAUACAGAGGCGGCAAGCGUUGUUCGGAAUUAUUGGGCGUAAAGAGCACGUAGGCGGCUAUGUAAGUCGGUUGUGAAAGCCUUCCGCUCAACGGAAGAACAGCAUCCGAUACUACAUGGCUUGAGUGCGGGAGGGGAGAGUGGAACUUCUGGUGGAGCGGUGAAAUGCGUAGAUAUCAGAAGGAACGCCGGCGGCGAAGGCGGCUCUCUGGCCCAUAACUGACGCUGAGUGUGCGAAAGCUAGGGGAGCAAACGGGAUUAGAUACCCCGGUAGUCCUAGCCGUAAACGAUGGGCACUAAGUAGAGGGGUUUU